rnacentral:rRNA from 1 species
GAAAGAUGGUUCUGCUAUCACUCUUGGAUGGACCUGCGGUGCAUUAGCUAGUUGGUAAGGUAACGGCUUACCAAGGCAAUGAUGCAUAGCCGAGUUGAGAGACUGAUCGGCCACAUUGGGACUGAGACACGGCCCAAACUCCUACGGGAGGCAGCAGUAGGGAAUCUUCCACAAUGGACGAAAGUCUGAUGGAGCAACGCCGCGUGAGUGAAGAAGGGUUUCGGCUCGUAAAGCUCUGUUGGUAGUGAAGAAAGAUAGAGGUAGUAACUGGCCUUUAUUUGACGGUAAUUACUUAGAAAGUCACGGCUAACUACGUGCCAGCAGCCGCGGUAAUACGUAGGUGGCAAGCGUUGUCCGGAUUUAUUGGGCGUAAAGCGAGUGCAGGCGGUUCAAUAAGUCUGAUGUGAAAGCCUUCGGCUCAACCGGAGAAUUGCAUCAGAAACUGUUGAACUUGAGUGCAGAAGAGGAGAGUGGAACUCCAUGUGUAGCGGUGGAAUGCGUAGAUAUAUGGAAGAACACCAGUGGCGAAGGCGGCUCUCUGGUCUGCAACUGACGCUGAGGCUCGAAAGCAUGGGUAGCGAACAGGAUUAGAUACCCUGGUAGUCCAUGCCGUAAACGAUGAGUGGUAAGUGUUGGGAGGUUUCCGCCUCUCA